rnacentral:lncRNA from 1 species
UACCCAGCUGCCGUGAUUCAAUAACCACCAGGAAAUUUUGAUGAUGGUGCUCUCCUGAGCUCCUCCCUGUCCCAGGGAAGACAAAAUCAUUGAAACUGUGCAAAUAAAGUGUUGCUUCGCUGGAAUGAGGUCUCAUGGCUGUUUAUGCGGUGACUGGCUGCUCAGGACAGGAAGGAAAGAGUAAUCCGUUGAGUUUCCUGACCUACCCAGCUGCUGUGAUUCAAAAACCAACAGGAAAUUUUGAUGAUGGUGAUUUCCCAAGCUCCUUCCACUCCCUGACAAAGGAAAAGGCAUUGAAAAUAUGAAAAUAAAGUGUUAUUUGGCUGGAGUGAGGUCUCAUGGCCGUUUAUGUGGUGGCGUGCUGCUCAAGACAUGGUGUUUCUUGGCCGCUUCAUCUGAUACCCCUGACCUCACAUGGCCAAAAGUCUACCCCUUCCCCAGCAACAUGGGAAAUAGACAAAAUCCCAGGAAUUUUACCUCAAAAGUGAGUGUGCCCACAGGGGCUCUUUUUAUUAUUAUCAUACUUUAAGUUCUAAGGUACAUGUGCACAAUGUGCAGGUUUGUUACAUAUGUAUACGUGUGCCAUGUUGGUGUGCUUCACCAGUUAACUCAUCAUUUACAUUAGGUAUAUCUCCUAGUGCUAUCCCUCCUCCCUCCCCCAGGCCCCGGUGUGUGAUUGUUCAUUUCCUAUGAGUGAUAACAUGUUUUAUUUGGUUAUCUGUCCAUGUGAGAGUUUGCUCAGAAUGAUGUUUUCCAGCUUCAUCCAUGUCCCUACAUGAACUCAUCUUUUUUAUGGCUGCAUAGUAUUCCGUGGUGUAUAUGUGCCAAAUUUUCAUAAUCCAGUCUAUCAUUGAUGGACAUUUGGGUUGGUUCCAAGUCUUUGCUAUUGUGAAUAGUGCUGCAAUAAACAUACGUGUGCAUGUGUCUUUAUAUAGCAUGAUUUAUAAUCCUUUGGGUAUAUGUCCAGUAAUGGGAUGGCUGGGUCAAAUGGUAUUUCUAGUUCUAGAUCCUUGAGGAAUCGCCAUACUGUUUUCCAUAAUGGCUGAACUAGUUUACAAUCCCACAAACAGUGUAAAAGUGUUCCUAUUUCUCCACAUCCUCUCCAGCACCUGUUGUUUCCAGACUUUUUAAUGAUUGCCAUUCUAAGUGGUGUGAGAUGGUAUCUCAUUGUGGUUUUGGUUUGCAUUUCUCUGAUGGCCAGUGAUGAUGAGCAUUUUUUCAUGUGUCUGUUGGCUGCGUAAAUGUCUUCUUUUGAGAAGUGUCUGUUCAUAUCCUUCACCCACUUUUUGAUGGGGUUGUUUGAUUUUUUCUUGUAAAUUUGUUUAAGUUCUUUGUAUAUUCUGGAUAUUAGCCCUUUGUCAGAUGGGUAGAUUGCAAAAAUUUUCUCCCAUUCUGCAGGUUGCCUGUUCACUCUGAUGGUAGUUUCUUUGCUGUGCAGAAGCUCUCUAGUUUAAUUAGAUCCCUUUUGUCAGUUUUGGCUUUUGUUGUCACUGCUUUUGGUGUUUUAGUCAUGAAGUCCUUGUCCAUGCCUAUGGCCUGAAUGGUAUUGCCUAGGUUUUCUUCUGGGGUUUUUAUGGUUUUAGGUCUAACACUUAAGUCUUUAAUCCCUCUUGAAUUAAUUUUUGUAUAAGAAGUAAGGAACGGAUCUAGUUUCAACUCUCUACAUAUGGCUAGCCAGUUUUCCCAGAACCAUUUAUUAAAUAAGGAACCCUUUCCCCAUUUCUUGUUUUUGUCAGGUUUGUCAAAGAUCAGAUGGUUGUAGAUGUGUGGUGUUAUUUCUGAGGGCUCUGUUCUGUUCCAUUGGUCUAUAUCUCUGUUUUGGUACCAGUACCAUAUUGUUUUGGUUACCGUAGCCAUGUAAUUUAGUUUGAAGUCAGGUAGCGUGAUGCCUCCAGCUUUGUUCUUUUGGUUUAGGAUUGUCUUGGCAAUGCGGGCUCUUUUUUUAUUGCAUAUGAACUUUAAAGUAGUUUUUUCCAAUUCUGUGAAGCAAGUCCUUGGUAGCUUGAUGAGGAUGGCACUGAAUCUAUAAAUUACCUUGGGCAGUAUGACCAUUUUCAUGAUAUUGAUUCUUCCUAUCCAUGAGCAUGGAAUGUUCUUCCAUUUGUUUGUAUCCUCUUUUAUCUUGUUGAGCAGUGGUUUGUAGUUCUCCCUGAGGAGGUCAUUCACAUUCCUUGUAAGUUGGAUUCCUAGGUAUUUUAUUCUCUUUGUAGCGAUUGUGAAUGGGAGUUCACUCAAGAUUUGGCUCUCGGUCUGUUAUUGGUAUAUAGGAAUGCUUGUGAUUUUUGCAAAUUGAUUUUGUAUCCUGAGACUUUGCUGAAGUUGCUUAUCAGCUUAAGGAGAUUUGGGGCUGAGACUAUGGUGUUUUCUAAAUAUACAAUUCAUGUCAUCUGCAAACAGGGACAAUUUGACUUCCACUUUUCCUAAUUGAAUAUCCUUUAUUUCUUUCUCUUGCCUGAUUGCCCUGGUCAGAACUUCCAACACUAUGUUGAAUAGGAGUGGAGAGACAGGGCCUCCCUGUCUUGUGCCUGUUUUCAAAGGGAAUGCUUCCAGUUUUUGCCCAUUCAGUAUGAUAUUGGCUGUGGGUUUGUCAUACAUAGCUCUUAUUAUUUUGAGAUACGUUCCAUCAAUACAUAGUUUAUUGAGGGUUUUUAGCAUGAAGUACUGUUGAAUUUUGUUGAGGGCCUUUUCUGUGUCUAUUGAGAUAAUCAUGUGGUUUUUGUCUUUGGUUCUGUUAAUGUGAUUGAUUACAUUUAUCGAUUUGCAUAUGUUGAACCAGCCUUGCAUUUCAGAGAUGAAGCCAACUUGAUCUUGGUGGAUAAGCUUUUUGAUGUGCUCCUGGAUUUGAUCUGUCAGUAAUUUAUUGAGGAUUUUUGCAUCGAUGUUCAUCAGAGAUAUUGGUCUAAAAUUCUCUUUUCUGGUUGUGUCUCUGCCAGGCUUUGGUAUCAGGAUGAUGCUGGCCUCAUAAAAUGAGAUAGGGAGAAUUCCUUCUUUUUCUAUUGAUUGGAAUAGUUUCAGAAGGAAUGGUACCAGCUCCUCUUUGUACCUCUGGUAGAAUUCAGUUGUGAAUCUGUCUGGGCCUAGACUUUUUUUGGUUGGUAGGCUAUGAAUUGUUGCUUCAAUUUCAGAGCCUGUUAUUGGUCUACUCAGGGAUUCAACUUCUUCCUGGUUUAGUCUUGGGAAGGUGUUUGUGUCCAGGAAUUUAUCCAAUUUUUCUAGAUUUUCUAGUUUAUUUGCCUAGAUGUGCUUAUGGCAUUCUCUGAUGGUAGUUUGUAUUUCUGUGGAAUUGGUGGUGAUAUCCCCUUUAUCAUUUUUUAUUGCAUCUAUUUGAUUCUUUUCCCUUUUCUUCUUUAUUAGUCUUGUUAGUGGUACAUCUAUUUUGUUGAUCUUUUCAAAAAACCAGCUCCUAGAUUCAUUGAUUUUUGAAGGGA